AGAAAACACGCGCUUUACUGAUUAUUCUGUGGUUGAGAUUUGAGACUUAUGAGAUAAAAAAAAAAAAAGAAAAAGACUACAAAGAUAUUGAAGAAUAUCAUUUCUCUGUACAUCUUGCCUAAAAAAUCUCUCUUUAGGGUUUCUACUAGUGUCUUGCCUACCCAAUAUUUUCCAGCUUCUGUCAUCUCCCAUCUUGCAGAUCUGAGACUUCCCAGAAAAGAUAUUGUCUGGUUUUCCAUUUUUUGGGGUCAAUCAGUGCCACUCCCUCCGGGUUCUUGCCGUUUUUUGGAAACUUUUUUGUUCAUGUGUUUAUUUUAGAUUUUUCUUGAUCAAGUGUUUUUUGUUGUUUGCACUUUGACCCUUUAUGGUAUCAUUGAUUUGUCUUUCAGGCUUGUCGGUGGAUUUAGCACCUCGUUUCUUAUCUACAAUUGUAAGAAUGUUGAGAGGGAAAACUCAGAUUAAGAGGAUAGAAAGUGCAACAAGCAGACAAGUGACAUUGUCAAAGAGGAGAAGGGGAGUUCUCAAGAAGGCCUUUGAGCUAUCUCAGCUCUUUGUGAUGCGAAGUUGCACUGAUCCGGGGUAGCUUCAUGAACUCUCAAGUUCCAGAAUUUUGAAGAAGAGUUUGCAAUUCUGAGAAAAAAGAAAGUUGAGCUUCAUGAAGAAACUAAACGGUUGUUGUCCUAACGUUGGCCCGUUUUAAGUUUUAAGCACAACUCAUUCCUUAUCGUACAACAACACGAAUUUCGUGCAGUUUUUGGAGAUGAAAAACAGCAUAAUUUUUGUAUGUUGCAGAAAGUUCUUGGGAGAUGGUUUAGAUUCCUCCUCUGUUGAUGAACUGCAACAGAUAGGUGGUCAACUGGAGAAAAGUUUAAGCAUCAUUAGGUCAAGAAAGUUACGUGUUGCAAUAGGCAUCUCUAAAAUGAUUUGAUCAGAAUGUAGAAUUUGAUGGUCAAAAUCGAAUGUUCAAUUCUCCUGCGGAGCCAAUUAUUUUGGGAGCGCAUUCAUUAGCUGAAAAAAGAGGUAAAAUACGCAUUUGAAAAUUCAGAAGUUGCUUAUUCAUUCGUUUGCAU